GGGGAAUAUUGCGCAAUGGGGGGAACCCUGACGCAGCCAUGCCGCGUGAAUGAAGAAGGCCUUCGGGUUGUAAAGUUCUUUCGGUAUUGAGGAAGGUUGAUGUGUUAAUAGCACAUCAAAUUGACGUUAAAUACAGAAGAAGCACCGGCUAACUCCGUGCCAGCAGCCGCGGUAAUACGGAGGGUGCGAGCGUUAAUCGGAAUAACUGGGCGUAAAGGGCACGCAGGCGGUUAUUUAAGUGAGGUGUGAAAGCCCCGGGCUUAACCUGGGAAUUGCAUUUCAGACUGGGUAACUAGAGUACUUUAGGGAGGGGUAGAAUUCCACGUGUAGCGGUGAAAUGCGUAGAGAUGUGGAGGAAUACCGAAGGCGAAGGCAGCCCCUUGGGAAUGUACUGACGCUCAUGCGCGAAAGCGUGGGGAGCAAACAGGAUUAGAUACCCUGGUAGUCCACGCUGUAAACGCUGUCGAUUUGGGGGUUGGGGUUUAACUCUGGCGCCCGUAGCUAACGUGAUAAAUCGACCGCCUGGGGAGUACGGCCGCAAGGUUA
rnacentral:rRNA from 1 species